GCUUGGGGCAAUGACGUAGCUAGUGAGGUUCUAACCGAGGCGCGUCUAUUGCUGGUUGAAAACUAUUUCCAAACCCCCUCUUAGGCCUGGGUUCAGCCUAGGCCUUCGAGAAUUUCUGGAAGGACUCCCUUAGGGGUUAUCCUGUCAGGACCUCUUUUUACCAAUCAAGGUUGCUGAUGAUCCGAGGUUGAGUCAUCACACAA
rnacentral:snRNA from 1 species